UUUUUGACUGCACUAAUAGUUCAUAAACACCACACAGGAAGUAGGAAAAGAACUACAUUUCCCAUCUGCCCUGGCUGUCACAGGCUAAUAGCACCAGCUGCUUUCCAUUGCCCUAAGGAGUGAUUCUACUGCGGCAACGAGACCAAAUACAACGAAAGUAUUGAUGCUGCAAAAGAAGACGGAUCUUUUGGUAGGCUGGUUAAUGAUGACCACAAGCACCCAAAUGGCAGAAUGCAGAAGACUGAAGUGGAUGGAAGCCCACAUCUUGGUCUGUUUGCUUUAACAGACUUUAAAGAAGGUGAUGAAAUUACCUACAAUUACGGAGGAGGAGACUGGCCUUGGCGUAGCAAGAUUUUCCAAAUGUCUAUUAAAUAUGCAGAUUAUGGAGGGGGACACUGCUGAGAGCAAUGGCCAGGAGAAACAGCAGCCAUCACAGUCUACACCUUUUCUGGAUCAUAAAUAUCAGAAUUGUGUAGUUUGCUGGCACUUUUAAUCCUGCCUUUCAAUCACACCUCUCCAUAAUUUCCAACAUAAGCAUCCCCUGGGACUUACUAGGUUCCCUACUGUAUCUUCUCCAAGAAAACUGAGUACUCCUAGUUACUAUUUGGUACAUAUGCACAAACUGCAGUCAGAGUUUUCAUUCUUGAGACGUGAAAUCUAAGUUCCAGUCUGUAAGUUGCCAGACAAUAAUUUCUGUCGGGUGUAAGGGUGUGUGUUUGCUAUGUAACUAAUGUUUAUUCUUACAUUUAGGUAAAACAUCUACUCUGAAAAAGAGGAAGGCUCGGGAAGGAAAUGAGGUCCAUGCAGUGGAGAGACAUAUGAAGACCUUCAUCAUGUCAUGUCGUGUCCCAGGGAAGUUGGUCUGUGAAAACUGCAUUAGAUCUGAGUCUUUAUAUCUUAAAGAUAGAGACUGGCAAAGUGUCAAAUUCUACGUCUAUAACUGCACUGUAGCUUACAAAAGAGAUAUAAACAAAGAUUAAAUAACACUUUGAUAGUAACACUUUACAUCUAUAUUACAGAUACUGUACAUCAUAACAUCUGUAGUAAUGCUUUAAUAAUAAGUUACAUUACAUCUCUAGCCUUUUACUUUGUAAUGAAACACUCAGCAUUUACUUCAUAAUAAACUAAUCAGGAACAAAUCAGGCAUUUAAAAUAUCCAUUAGAAUCUUUACCUACACCGUUAUAUUGAAUUAGAUCAAAUUGGUUUGGGCCGCCUUCUUCCAGUGGGUCCUUAUGCAGGUGACUGACAAGUUCAUGAGUAAGCCUAUUGGGCAAUAAAAGCUUCCGUGUGCUACCCAUUUACAUGUUUAGGCUGCCUGGAAUCAAAAUUAGCUACCUGAACAUACAUUAUUAAGUUGUUACUGUCACUUUUUAGCUUAGUCAGUUAAGUGGAUAUAGAAUAAAGAAAAAAAAUUAUGUUUAUGACAUUUGGUUGUGUGUCUGUGUUUGGCUAGUAUCUUUAUUUUUCUCAAUAUGUUUAACUUUGAGCUGGCUAUAUGUAGUAAGCACAAGUGUUAUGUCAAACUUAAAUGAGUCCAAGUUCAUUCAUGGCACAUGUGAGCUUAGUAGUUGUGCACUUUAAUGGGCAAAUAUUUGUUGUCUUUUACAGUAAAGAAGCUCAAGACUCAAGUUGUCUUUAUAAUGUUGAAUAGACAGGGUUUUUUCAUCUUACUGACAAUUUUUCACUUGAUUAGAGAUCCAGACCAAUAAACAAAUCCUUCAUGCAGCUAAAAUAUCAAAAGGAUGAGUUUCUUUGUCAUUUUGACUUGCCAAAAUGACUGGGGAUAGUGUUAAUUUGUGAUGCAUGCCUGUGAUAAAUAAGUGAGGUUCAGUACAGCAAGCACCUCUACUUUCUAUUCCACAAAAAAUUGUAUACUUUGGAGCAGGAAAUGAAAUGCUUCUUAGAAUUAUAGCCUCAAAACUAAUAAUAGCACUGGUAACACCUUCCUUAACAAGUUCCUAGGUUUCUCAAAAGGUUCCUCUGUUGGAAAUAGAAAGCUCCAAAGAAAUGUAGUCUGUUAUCUAUUACGUGCAGAUAUUGAAAUUUGUGUAAGAGAGCUUUUUGAUAACCAAACUUUCACUGAUUGCAUAUUUCACAAAUAAGGCUAAGAGUCCUUAGUAUAAACAAUUAAGAACAACUGUUCAAUAUAAUUUCAUGAGAAGCUUAAACCUUCAAAUAGAGAAAAUACACAUCAUAUCUGCUUUACAGACAGCCCUCUAAAUUGGACAUACUUAGUUUGUAAUUUUGUAUAAAUAAUUAGAGUUAAAUUGACAACUUUGUUUUUUAAAACCAUGUCCCCUUGUUGAACUACCUGAUCUGUGUGUAUGCAGAUUAACUAUGUAGUGAUGUCCCCUCUACAACAUGAAAACCAGUUAAUUUUCUGUGUAUGAAAAUUAGCUAUCUAGUGAUGUCCCCACUACAACAUGAAAACCAGUUAAUUUGCUGUGCAUGCAAAUUAGGUCCCCAUUAAUGAUGAGUUCUUGUUAUGUCCACAUUAGGUGUGAAAAAACCAAGCACAGAAAUUUUGAGAUUUAAAUCCAGAAUUUGAGAUGAUAUGUGUUCUCAGGCUUAAAUUAUACAUGCCUGACUUUUUUCACAUCUGUAGGACCUCAGGAAAGUGGUGUCCCCACAAUACAUGGGUGGGACUACUGACCCCAGAAUGUUAUAAUUACAAGAAUGUCUGUGUGUGUGUGUGUGUGUGUGUGUGUGUGUGUGUGUGUGUGUGUGUGUGUGUGUGUGUGUGUUAAAGGUACAGGAGCAGUCUGGCUGUGCAGCUACAGUAAAUGUUAAUAAUAAUAAUAAUAAUAAUAGGACGUUAUUUAAAAGCUCAUACAGCUGAUGUGAUUUUUAUUUAGUAGUUAAUUUAACAUGCUAUGCUAACAUGUAAACAAUAAGAUAAUAUUACCUGACGUACAUUUUACACUCAAUAUUGUCUGUUUCUGUUCUAUUUCACCAACAAAAAUAUUUCCAAACAAAGCCACAGCAGGUCCUGCUCCUUUUUCCUCCUAAUUCCCUCAUUUCUCCACGUUGGGAUUAAUAAAGUAUUAUCGUAUCUCA